AAGCAAACAUAUGUGUAGUGAAAGCUCGUAUUACUCCCGAACAUAAUGUGAAACAGAAGUGUUACUCUGUAACAGUAGUAUGUGAUGAAGCUGAACAGAGAAUUGUCUCUGCAGAAUGUGAAGAUUGCACAGCACAUUUGGGUGGAUGGUAGCAUGCAAUAGCUUUUAUAGCUUGGCUGCACAGGCGUAGCGAAGACCCUCCCUCUACUAGUAUCGACUGUUACUGGAAGAAGUCCAAAUUAUCCACGAUAGGCACAACCCUAAAGUAUAUAAGAGCUGAAGGGUUAGGUAGUAUUUCAAAAGCCAAACCUGCUCCAUCUGCCAAUACUCGAAGCCUUCUGCCAACUCUAAUAAACCAUAGCAAAAGCAUCGGUCACGUGGAAAGUCAACUCAUGAAAUACUACAAGGAAAAAAGCAGAGUAGGAAAAUUAUCCAUUCAUCAUUUAGUAACUACACUACCAAAUAAACCGGCUAACGCCACAGAGUUCAUCAACUAUUGCAGGAGUAUGAUGGACACAUCAUGAAGCUGAUCUAGCUACAAUUGAUCAGAAUGACUGUCCGCUGUGGCAUGAGCUACGGUAUGCUAGGAUUACUGCUUCGAAGAUGCAUGAAGCAGCACACUGCAAAGUUUUCGAAGGCACUUUAUGUGAAAGUAUAAUGGGAGCAAUUAAAUUAAAGGACACAGAGACGAUGAAAAGAGGGCGUUUGCUAAAGAAAAAAGUAUUGAAAGAAGUCAAAUAAAAAAAUGAAACUGAAAAUUAAUGGGUGUGGUUUGAUCUCAAACCCUAAUUGGUGCAUCUCCUGAUGGUGAGAGUAUUGAUUACAGUAUUGAAAUCAAAUGCCCAUCAUCUGAGAAAGCCAUGAGCAGAUAUCUUUCAAAAGAUGUUAUAUCCUCAAAAUAUAUGGCUCAGGUCCAAAUGCAGAUGCAUUUUUCAAAUAAAAAAGGGCUUUUCUGUGUUGCACAUCAUGAUUUUAAAAUAUGAAAGGAAGUAGACAUUUAUAUUGUAAAUUAUGAUGAGAACUAUUGUGCAACUAUUUUGGAAAAAAGCAUGCUCUUCUGGAGUAAUGCUAUUUUUCCUAUUAUAUGUAAAAAUAUCAAAUAAAUCAUAGUAUGAGGAGCAAGUUGAAAUUUCAGUUGUCAGUUAGCCAAGUUACUUGUAACCUAUAUUCGUACCUUCUGAGUGUGCCACACCAAUAUGAAUAAAAAUAAAGCACUUGAAAAUUUUA